GGGAAAUAGAUUCCAUAGACAUGACUAAAGAAUUGCAAAUGGCUAAGGCGGUGGUGGAUCACGAUGCCAUGUCCUUUUCCAUUUAAUGGUCCUGUACAUUGGAUAGCAUGCUGCACUCUUAAGUAUGCUUGUUGGAAAGAAAAAUUCUGCCUGUCUUGACAAAGGCAAUGACCUCAAGAUAGCAAAUUGGUUAUCAGUGGGUCCUUAAAAAAUCAUUUG
rnacentral:lncRNA from 1 species